AAAAAAAGCAAUAUAUUCAAAAAAAAAGAAGCAAAAGCAACAGAUAAAAAAAGCAAUAUCCAAAAGAGAAAAGAAAAAGAAAAACAAAAGCAACAUCCACUCGCCAACUUGGAGUUGUUGCUCUUGAUGCACAUACAAUUGAGUGCUUGGAAAAUAAUUUUUGGUGCUGGCAAGAUGAAGACACAACCGCUACUGCAUGCAAGGUAUGUGAAGACAAAGCCUGGACAAUGGAUUCUAUGGGUCAAAUCUUGAGCAACAAGAUAAAGAUGGAUGUUAUACAAAAGAGAAAAAGAAGGCAUAUGAAACAAUGAAACCAAAGAAAAUAUCCAAGGAGGAGAUACUUCGUCUAAUGGAAGAAAAGAAACAAGUGAAAGAACAAGAGAAGCUGCUUACAGCCUCUUCAAAAUCCGAAGGUGUUGAGAUGAAAAAAAUAUAAAAAGGAGAUGCAGUAGUGGGAAAUGGAGAAAUAUACUCUAAAAUCCAUUGUAGCUGAAAUUGACAAAAAAAUGGUCGAAUUGGGAUCACUUGGAGGUAGGAUAUUUCUUUAUUUGUGUUUCUUUCUUUCUUCUUCCUUUGGAAUCCACUCACCGCCUUGAAGGCGCCUAAGUUAUUUUUUCUCUUUCGUAGCUUAGGAUUUUUGCUACAGCAACGAUUUUUUAUAAGUGAUAGGUUGUCUUACGCUGACCUCUCUACAUCUCUGGUAUUUUUCAAUAGACUUCUCAAGAUGCAUUUGGAGACAAGCACAAGAAACAAAGAAAAAAGGAAUAUGCGCAAAAAAAAAAGAAAAAGAAACACAAAAAAGCUAUAUAUACAAAAAAAAAAGAAGAAAAAAAGAAAAAAAUGCAAUAUCUACAAGUGCUAAAAAGCAAUAUCCACUCGCUAACUGGAGUUGUUGCUCUGGAUGCAGAGACAAUUGAGUGCUUGGAAAAUAAUUUUUGGUGCUCGUAAGAUGAAGACACAACCUAUGAUGUUGGUGCAUGCAAAGUUUCAGGGUUUCAUCCCGCAAAACCUAUUGAUGAAGAGAAAUAACUUAUAGAAAGAGGAGAUAUUGAAUCUUAUUGCUCUAAAUCUAUUCGUGGUGCUGCAAGGAAUCAAUAGAGGUUCUUUCUCUUGUAUUUUGUUGUAUGUAUAACCUGUCCAUUUUUAAUUUAUCAUAUUUAAGUUGGAGUAACUCUUCAUUCGAUAGACUCGCAAUCAUUGUCCAAAAGCAGUAAGUUAUGCGGUUUGUUCAAAAAGCAGUAAGUUCUACGAUCAUUUUGUGGCUUUACUUAAAAUAUAUUGCAUUUUCAUGUUAUCAUUUUAUCUUGGGAAGGUUGGUAAAUUUUUUAUGGCUUUACUUAAAAUGUAUUACAUUUUCCUUCGAGACAAACGAGUAACUCUACUGUAGUGUUUUAUGGGGAAAGCAUUUGCCAAUAAUUCUAGUAAUUCGUUUUAAUCUAUUACUUUUUAAUAGUUUUUUGUAUUCAAGGGGAUGUGAUCAUAUAAUAUGCUUGAAGAUAACACUUCCAUGCAUGCUCUUU